AUUGAACGCUGGCGGCAGGCCUAACACAUGCAAGUCGAACGGUAACAGGAAGAAGCUUGCUUCUUUGCUGACGAGUGGCGGACGGGUGAGUAAUGUCUGGGAAACUGCCUGAUGGAGGGGGAUAACUACUGGAAACGGUAGCUAAUACCGCAUAAUUUCGCAUGCACAAAGAGGGGGACCUUCGGGCCUCUUGCCAUCUGAUGUGCCCAGAUGGGAUUAGCUGGUAGGUGGGGUAACGGCUCACCUAGGCGACGAUCCCUAUCUGGUGUGAGAGGAUGAGCGGCCACACUGGAACUGAGACACGGUCCAGACGCCUGCGGGAGGCAGCAGUGGGGAAUAUUGCACAAUGGGCGGAAGUCUGAUGCAGCUAUGCCGCGUGUAUGGAGAAGGCCUUCGGGUUGUAAAGUACUUUCAGCGGGGAGAAAGGGAGUACAGUUAAUACCUAUGCUCAUUGACGUUAACCGCAGAAGAAGCACCGGCUAACUCCGUG
rnacentral:rRNA from 1 species